CUUAGUGGCGGACGGGUGAGUAACGCGUGGGCAACCUGCCCCGUGCCGGGGGAUACCGCCUGGAAACAGGCGCUAAUACCGCAUAAGCGCAUACAGCCGCAUGGCAGUAUGCGGAAAGCUCCGGCGGCACGGGAUGGGCCCGCGCCCGAUUAGCCAGUUGGCGGGGUAACGGCCCACCAAAGCGACGAUCGGUAGCCGGCCUGAGAGGGCGGACGGCCACAUUGGGACUGAGACACGGCCCAAACUCCUACGGGAGGCAGCAG
rnacentral:rRNA from 1 species